AUUUGGGAGUGUGAACUUUCAGAACACCUAAUAAGAGAGUGGUGUCAGAGUAAAAACGGCCCCAGGUCUGGAGCAUAGAAGUGUAUCUCUGUGAAGAGAGAGCCGGUGUGUUGACAUGUGGUUCUUCUCACACCCCUCUACUCCUCGAGGGCUUUGAAUCCUUGGGCUGAUUUUUGUGCCAGAAAUUGCUGUUCCCGAUGGCCAAAAGGGGAACCUGAACUGGAUUUCAGAACUGCCCAGUGAUUUGAAAAUUUAGAUUUUACUUGGGCCUUUCAGGAGUCUUUAGAUAGGGAUGCUGAGGUCAUAUUUAGUUCAAUGAACAGCCCUUGUUUAAGUUUUGCCAGUGUCCAGCCAGCUGUGGCCCUGGCCAUCUGUGCAGGCAGGUUCCUCAAUUCCUGGUUGGCCCUGCAGUCGGUCAACACAGUCCCUCCAGGUCGGCUGCAGAGGCAGCUGCCCAGCCUGCAGUCUAUGCACGGGCCUUAAGAAAUGAGCUGCCUGUAGCCUCACGGCAUAUGCUUUUAUCAGGGAAAACCCUUCGAGCUUCUUCUGAUUCUCACCUGCUUGCUUUCUGGCUGUCUUAGUCAGUGUGUUUACAGGCAACUAAAGCCUGUUCCUAAUUUAUCAAAAAAUUAUAACCAAAAUUCACCAUAGCCUAAGAGAGUAAACCCCACCUCCAAAGUGAUGCCAAGGCCAAAACCUCAUCAAGGAACCAGACACAGGUCAAAAGUGGUGAGCAAGCCAUGGUCUCUGCUCCUGGGGAACUCACACGCUGACCCCCGAGGAGCCUUGGUUUCCUCCCUGGCAGAUAGUCCCCAGAAUCUUCUCUCCCAGCUUUGAGGUUCUGGGCUCUGGAAAGGCCUCUGGGAUGCUGGCCUUAAGAUCUCAGCACAGACUAUCAGCAUGUUCCAUUCUCAGAUUCCUGGAGGAAAGGUACCCUCUGUUGACCAAGGGGCUGGCUGCUUCUGAGACUUACCAACCCAAGAAAUUUGGAGACAUUCCCCUCAGGCUAAAAGGCAGCGGUCCCCAGAGUUCAGAAAGCAAAAGAUCUUGACAACUGUGCCAGUAGUGGCUCUGGUCCUAUCUCUCCACAGUGCUGGCCUCUGCUGGGGAAGGCAUCUUUCCCAAAGGUAUCCCCAAGUACCAUGUUGAAAAUGUCCUCAGUCUGUUGCUCCAUCUUUCUGAGCCUCUGCUUGGUAUGUCAUGUUUAUGGUCACUACGGAUGAGUGUGUGCAGAGUUUGGGUUGAUUCUUUUAAAUGCUACAAACAAGAGCUAUUUCUUUUCAAUAAAAAAGGUUUGGAUUCGGCCUCUUCCUCUGAGCCCACCUCCCAGCCCUCCAGGGAGCAUCAGUGUACCUGAGUCACUUUGUCUGCAUCUCUUCAUCCCACAAAACACGAGGCUGGGUCUCAUUCAGCGGCCUCUCACCAACCUUCAAGAUCCAGAAGAAAACAGGAACGUUCAGCUCUGCCCUGUGUCGUAUCUAAUCACAUACAUUAAUUUAUCUAACCACAUAAGUUAUUUUUUUUUAUUUGCCAGAAAUAAACCUUUAAAGGAACAAA
rnacentral:lncRNA from 1 species